rnacentral:rRNA from 1 species
AUUGAACGCUGGCGGCAGGCUUAACACAUGCAAGUCGAACGAGUGGCGGACGGGUGAGUAAUGUCUGGGAAACUGCCUGAUGGAGGGGGAUAACUACUGGAAACGGUAGCUAAUACCGCAUACCAUCGGAUGUGCCCAGAUGGGAUUAGCUAGUAGGUGGGGUAACGGCUCACCUAGGCGACGAUCCCUAGCUGGUGUGAGAGGAUGACCAGCCACACUGGAACUGAUACACGGUCCAGACUCCUACGGGAGGCAGCAGUGGGGAAUAUUGGACAAUGGGCGCAAGCCUGAUGCAGCCGUGCCGCGUGUAUGACGAAGGCCUUCGGGUUGUAAAGUCCUUUCAGCGGGGAAGCGUUACCCGCAGAAGAAGCACCGGCUAACUCCGUGCCAGCAGCCGCGGUAAUAC